CACACACAUCAAUGAGCCUUGGGCCCCCAUGAUGAUCUGAUCACGGUCGAUCAGAUCCUUACAUUUUGCCCAUUUUUACACUUCCAAUAUCAACUUCCAGACCUGACCUAAUAACCUAUCUCACCCCUGACAGGCGCCAUUGUCACCAGAUAGUCCCAUGUUAUUCACGUCACCGGGUUCAGAGAACACCCACUGUAUGAGCGGAGAUGAUCUGCAGCGCCAUGGGAAGAUGACACGUGAAGGAUAAUGAACAAUAUUAUAUUAUUCAUCUAUAGGAAUACCUGAACAAGGGUAUCAAUGAACACAUUAUACUUGCAGCCUCCGGAGAAGCAGAAAUGUGUGUUCAGCCGUUCCUGAGACCGGAGAUAGUACAUUUCACCUCUUGCAAAAUAAGAACUUUGACUUUCAUCUUAUUUUUGAAGCUCUUGGCCUUCAAGCCUCUUCUAUGACAUCUUUGGUUUUUGUCUGUAACAGAGACCUGUUUUUUUUUCCUGAUUUCUGUAAAAAUGGAGCUGCAAUUUAUGUUUUCUGGGCAAAUGCUUUUUCUUUUCCCUAUUGUUCAUCAUCUUCUGUUAGCAGUUUGUAUUAGAUGUGUAACUUAAAGCU